rnacentral:lncRNA from 1 species
GACUGCUCUGGUCCCUGGGCUGCUCCCACGAGCCUGACUCUGACGGUGUCUGCUGCACAUCAUCCGCGGAGUCCCGAGUUUCGGCCACUGCGGUCGUCCCCAUUUCACAGCCAGGAAACAGAGGACAGGGGAAGUCAACUGGAGGUCACGCGGUGAUGGGGAAACCGAGGCACGGAGCUGUGAAGUGACUUGCCCAAGGCCCCACCGGCAGCCAGUGGCAGAGCCAGGUGCCCCCCAAGAUGUUCACGCCCUAAUCCUCAGGAU